GGAUGUGAGGGUCAUCUGGCUAUGACAUUUGUCACCCCAUUGAUUUCCAGGGUUGAUUAGGCUGAUCUGGCUGGCUAGGCGGGUGUCCCCUUCCUCCCUCACUGCUCCGCGUGCGUCCCUCUGGAAGCUGCACGCUCAGUCAAAGAGGAAGACCUUCCCUUUAUAGAGGAGGACUGGUCUUCUGUCAAGGGUAUACAAGUAGCUGCGCUCCCUUGGUAGAACCUCCAAACAAACUCUCAAGGUCCAUUUGUAGGAGAACUUAGGGUAGUCAAGCUUCCAAGACUGCAGACACAUCCAAAUGAGGUGCUGCAUGUGGCAGUCUGCCUUUGUUU
rnacentral:snRNA from 1 species